GCCAUCAAUGGGACUGAUAACAGGAAGAUGGGAAUAUUUUGGAAUUUAUCGUCUCUGAAUCACCCUUACUUGUAACAGCAGAAAAUCAACAAAUCAAUCAGUUUGACUGUGAUGUAACUGAUGCUCUGCAUUUUGAGUACGGGUUUGAAAAUGCAGAUCAGGAGUCUGAUUCUGAGCUACAGGAGAACGACUUGGGAGAUGGUUUUCUAUGAUUCUACGAAUCUAUGGUCUGAGUGUAUUAAUCCCAAUGAGUCAGAGCUACUGUGAACUCCCACUCCUGAGAGAGCUACAGUCAGAAAAUGUUACCAGACCAAACGGUAGUGCCUAAUUCUGUUUCACAUUCUAAAAGCAUAGCUUU
rnacentral:lncRNA from 1 species